rnacentral:Y_RNA from 1 species
GGCUGGUCCAAGUGCAGUGAUGUUUACAACUAAUUGAUCACAACCAGUUACAGAUUUCUUUGUUCCUUCUCCACUCCCACUGCUUCACUUGAAUAGCCUUAA